UGUGAAAUUGAGAAUCAUGAUAAAAUCCUCAUACCUCCUCCUCUUUUGACCAAAUCUUUCUAAAAUGCACAAUUAUAAUUUCUUAUCUUUAGGAAAAAGUAAUUAUGUUAUAUGUGUUAUAUACACUAUGUAAAUAUAGUUCAUUAAAUCAUUCUUUGGUGUUUGAAGACUUUCUAAUUCAUUACUUCAUUCCAGACAUCAAUGACAACAGCACAUACCGAGCAGGUACACAUAUGAGCUACCUACUAAUAUGCCCUGAUUUUGAUUGUAUUUUGUGAAAACCUUGGUAUGGGUUAUUUUUAAAUGAAUGUUUUCCCAAAUUUUAAGCUGAAACUAGGAUGCAUCAAAAUUAUCUUGGUCAUAAUCUUGUCAAUGAUGUCAUCUAAAGGCCACCAGGAACACACCUGUAGCCCAGCAAAGUUGAGGCCAUCGACUGGCUCAUCACAACAAGGAAGGCUGUGCACCACUGGGACCCAGCAGCAGCUCAGCAGCAGCAGUGAGAGGGCCUUGGGAAAGACUUGGAGGGUUUGGCUUAUACAAGGUGAUCUUGGGGAGGGUCAAGGAAACAGGCUGUGAUGGUUAAUAUUGAGUGUCAACUUGAUUGGAUUGAAGGAUGCAAAGGAUUGUUCCUGGGUGUAUAUGUGAGAGUGUGGCCAAAGGAGAUUAACAUUUUAGUCAGUGGACUGGGAGAGGCACACCCACCCUCAAUCUGGGUGGGCAUCAUCUAAUCAGCUGCCACAGCAGCUAAAAUAAAGCAGGCAGAAGUUGGAAUGAGCAGACUUGCUGAGUGUUCCAGCCUUCAUCUUUCUCCCAUGCUGGAUGCUUCCUGCCCUCGAACAUCAGACUCCAAGUUCUUCAGCUUUUUUUUUUUUUUUUGGACUCUUGGACUUACAGCAUUGGUUUGCCAGGGGCUCCCAGGCCUCUAGCCGCAGACUGAAGGCUGCACUGUGAGCCUCCCUACCUUUGAAGUUUGGGACUCAGACUGGCUUCUUGGCUCCUCAGCUUGCAGUCGGCCUAUUGUGAGACUUCCCCUUGUGAUCAUGUGAGCCAAUUCUCCUGAUAAACUCACCUUCAUAUAUACAUCUAUCCUAUUAGUUCUAUCCGUUUAGAGAACCCUGACUAAUACACAGGCCAUGCUCAGAUGGAGUGCUGUCUGGAAAUGGGAGUAAUUCUGUGGUUGAAUGUCUUAAUUGUCCUGGAAGGUGGGAGAAAUGGAAUGAGGCUGGUGCUACAAUUGAUGUAAAAGCAGCAGCUGCUCACAUAAGCCGGGGUGGAGGAUGCCUAGGCGUAUUUGUGGUAUUGACCAUGUUCUUGUUUUUGUUUGUGACCAGACCAGAUUACAGAGGGGUAUUGAUUUGCCUUGCCCCCGCCCCCACCAUCACAGUGUGUCCCUGUCCAGUGUUGGUGCUGUGUGGCAUUGCUUGUGUCCAUAGGAGUCCAUCAAGGCAGAGCGGCAGAGCGGCAAGCAGAGCGGCAAGGCAGGUCAGCUUCCGGCUCUUCCAGGCUGCAUGUCCCCCUCAAUAUCCUUUCAACCCAAUGGAAAUGGAUUGAAAGAGUGAAAGUCACUGGUCUCAAAGAAUCUACGGAAUUUAGCAUUUUGAAAAUCACAGAGCAAUUUUGGGUAGGUAUUCACAUGCACUAAAAAACCAGGCAAACAUCUGACUCCCAGGAUAAAGUGACUGAGAGCAGUAGAAGACUUGUUGAGCCUUAAGGAAUAAGAGGAAAAUUAUGUUAUGAAGUGCAGGAACAGCACAGACCCAGACGAGGGGAUGCAGCCCGGAGCCAGUAACCCGGCGCCUCCUCCUCCCCAGGGCGCAGCGCUGGCUGCUCCCCGGAUACCGUGAUCACACGUCCCAGGUCCUGAGAGCGCCUCAUAGGUAGACAGUUCUUUGGGACUUUUGGGACGCAGCACUUGAAGAGAGGUUUACCUAAACUUUCCUCCUGGGAGCCUGUCAUCAUUUGAAAGUAACAGAAGAAAGCUGUCAGGCUGAGGAAAGUUUCAACAGGCACUUGGUGAGAAUGGGAAGCAUCCAUUCAUUGGGAAAUCACGGGGACAGAGGAGGAAUUCACGGGAUCAGAGCACUGAGAAACUCCAGAGGCUUCUGGUUCACCGCCCUGAUUCCACAGAUGUGGGUCAGAGGCAGAGAUGGAAGUUGGAAUGGACAAGCCUGCCCUCUCCUCAGCUCUCCAUGGCUCUGUCCUCAGGCUGUUUCUGCAAUUUGACAUGAGGCCUGGCCCCAGGGAAACCAGUGGGGCCUCAUCUCCUCCCUGUGCUGCUCUGAGGUGGAGCCUUCUCAGGGUCAGUCCAGCUCUGGAGCCCCUCUCCAGCUCGGUCACCAAAGCUGUCUGGUCCCAGGGCAGUGUGGAGUGACAGGCACGCCAGCCAAUCCAAUCGGCCAUUUCAUACCCAAUGCAUGUGACUGAUAAAGAGAUAACACCCUGUCUCCAAGACACAGGCUUUACAUAAACAGCUUUAAUGACUUCUUCACUUAGGGACAAGACUCCUUAGUGGUGGAACCUCAGGCAUCCAUGCAGGAUGUAAGAAAGCUCCCGUAUAUACAUGAACUGAGAAGUGUGUAGAAGAGUAAAUACUGUAAUAGGUAAUAAAAUGUAUGUAUUUUU
ensembl:lncRNA LINC00680 long intergenic non-protein coding RNA 680